rnacentral:tRNA from 1 species
CAAAGGUUAGUUUAAUAAAAAUAUUGAUUUUGGAGAUCAAUGAUGGAUUGAUUCCUUUCUAUCUUUGG